GGCGGGGUUCCCAUGUUGCGCUAUGGAAAAUUGUUAGGGGAUACACUGUGACAAACAUGCGCGCUGAGAUUGAUAAUAACCAGAAUAAGGCCAAAACGGGAACCUGGCGGAGUGAAUAUUCAGCGAGGGCCGGAACUGGGUGGCGCCGGCCAGGAUGAGGCACACAUUUCUUCAGCACAGAUGGAGGAAAGGCUUGAGCUAAACACGAUAACAAGGAGCCGGAGGCGCUGGCAGGCCAGGAUCAUUCCACAUUUAGUGCCAGACCUACAGAGUUCAAACCUGUUUUUUCUGACUUCAAUUACAUUCGACCCCAUUUGGACCAGGAGCAGCACCGGAUGGCUGAAGUUGCCCCAGGAGAAAACACAGUAUAUGCCAUCAUGCCUGACAAAGAAGUCUGUGGAAAAGAUCUAUUUUUCCACACCGUGAUUCAUGACAGUUUCUGCCAGGCUUGAUCUGUGUUUCCAUUUUGCUACUAUGCCCUACCAUCCCGAGAACUUGGCCAUCUGAUGCACUAACAAGCUGCUAAAACGUUGAGCUGAGUGUCUGUUUCCUUUUUAGGUUUAAGAAACUUAAACCUGAAUCAUCAUCAGCUUGCCUAUCUUUCAACAAAAAUAUUUAUAUUGGCCAUAGUACACUGUGGACUAUGCCCAAAUUACAUAAUGUACAAUGUACAUGUAGAUGUAGAUGUCUGUUUUGAAAAAUAGACAUCUAUUUCUAAAAAAAAAAAAAUACAGGCUGGUGUUUAGUUUUUCAUUAUCAGACAUUCUUUAGUGAAAUUGCAGCUCUAUACUUAAUCUUGAAGGCUGCUUAAGACAACGAGGAGCAGUUUGUUUUUCAUACUUUCAUAAAAGUAAAAAGUAGAUCAGCAUUCUCUGGAGAUAAAAUAGCUUCCUACUGUAAUGCAGCGAGAACAAAAAACAAGAGAAUGCCAACAGCAUUCUCCUGCCCUAUUUGAUAAGUGGAAGAACAGAAUAAAAAAAAGAAAGAAUAUAAGACUGACAAUAGGUCAAUGAAGCUUUCACUGAUGUUGUUCAAUGUUGAUUGAAGUGUUCUGACAAAUACAAGUGAAGGUGCUGCAUUUCUAGAUCCAUCCUUGCAGAUAAAUCAUAAAACAUGUUGAAAACAACGACAUUAGUUUCUUUCCCUCCAGGUGUGCCAGAAGCUGUGUCGGCUUUAAAGUCCUCCUCCCCAUGGAACUGGUUUCAGAUGGUGUCUUAGAGUCUAAAAUCCCAUCUAGCACCAUUUGAAAUCGGUGUCCUUGAGCGGGAACAGACUUCACAUUAGCAAUCAGUGUAGGAUUGCUGUUUGGUUUGUGAUGGUGAUUUUCAAAACAAUUUAAAAUAGGGCCAGGAAUGGGUUGCAUAUUGACAGACUGCAUGGCUCUACAAAUCUUAAGCAUCAGCUAUUGAAUAGACAAGAUAAUAGGAAUCCAUUCUUCCAACCCUCUAACCAAGGCUGACCGUUUUCCUCUGGUGUUCAGAGUUUCCAUCAUGUCUAGCACCAUUUGAAAUCGGUUACAAUGUGGAGGGAAAAUCAACAUUUUGCUUCAGCUACAUUGUGAAUAUCCACCAAAGGCCACAAGAUGGCAGCAUUGCAUUUCAGUCAACCAAGCUGCAGCGCUGGAAGAAUCCCAAAAGCAGAAUUGAGGACCAUGUGCAGGUGCAAAUCUGAAUUGUUUUGAUGGAAUAAAAACGUAUUGUUGUUGUUGAAAA